UAAGUGCCAACGGCUCUUGCGCCGUAAUGUGUCCGCUUUGUCUGGUUCCCUCGGCCGGCCACAAAUGGCGAAAAAUCAGCCUCUCCUUCUGGAGCUCGCGCCAACUUUGGCGAAAAAUUUCUAAGUGCCAACGGCUCUUGCGCCGUAAUGUGUCCGCUUUGUCUGGUUCCCUCGGUCGGCCACAAAUGGCGAAAAAUCAGCCUCUCCUUCUGGAGCUCGCGCCAACUUUGGCGAAAAAUUUCUAAGUGCCAACGGCUCUUCCCCGUAAUGUGUCCGCUUUGGCUGGUUCCCUCGGUCGUCCACAAAUAGCGAAAAAUCAGCCUCUCCUUCUGGAGCUCGCGCCAACUUUGGCGAAAAAUUUCUAAGUGCCAACGGCUCUUGUGCCGUAAAGUGUCCGCUUUGUCUGGUUCCCUCGGUCGGCCGCAAAUAGCGCAAAAUCAGCCUCUCGCCCUUCAGGUACCAGGCGUUGGGGUACCAGGGGUAAGUGCAGUACCAGCUUUGGUCUGUUGGUGCGCCAGAGUACGAUGAGUUGGUCCCCCUAGUCACUGUACUCAUUACCUUUACCCCCAAAUCGCAAAAUAUAGUCAGAACGAGUGUGGGGAACACAAGUUUUGUUCCCGAAAACCAGGCGGCUGGUGUCUCUAGCGAUGUGUUCCCCCCCAAAAAGUGUUCACAUGCUCGGACAGCGAACCUAGGAGCUACCGCAAAGCACUCUGGAAGUGCAAGAGCAAAAAUUUUUCUAAGUACAAAAAUUUCUCGAAAAUCUUCAAAGUGUCACAGUGCUCGAAAAUUUUCAAAGUGCUACAUGCUUUCCAUCCAAGGAAGGAAUAGUGGAGGACCGGCCGCCUCCUUAAACACAAGCCAGUGGAACGACGGGGAGGACCGGCCGCCUCCUUAAACACAGGCCGGUGGAACGUUUGGCAGAAUUCUUCUCGUGGAGGACCGGCCGCCUCCUUAAACACAGGCCGGCGGAACGACGGGGAGGACCGGCCGCCUCCUUAAACACAGGCCGGUUGGAACGGUUGGCAGAAUUCUUCUCGUGGAGAACCGGCCGCCUCCUUAAACACAGGCCGGCGGAACGACGGGGAGGACCGGCCGCCUCCUUAAACACAGGCCGGUUGGAACGGUUGGCAGAAUCGCGUGACGGCCGCCUGCUCCCGGCGUCCGCACGUGAACAAACAUCCCCUCCCGGGGACGGUCGUCUGCUCCCGACCGCCGUCCUUCACCCCCUCACCUUCCGGACCCCCGUCUGCUCCCGGCGGGCGAAAAUCUGCGAAUGUUAUACAUCCAAGAAAGGAAGGAGGGAACCGGCCGCCUCACUAAACAUAGGCCGGGCGAAAAUCUGCGAAUGUUAUACAUCCAAGAAAGAAAGGAGGGAACCGGCCGCCUCACCAAACAUAGGCCGGGCGAAAAUCUGCGAAUGUUAUACAUCCAAGGAGGGAGGACCGGCCGCCUCACUGAACAUAGGCCGGGCAAAAAUCUGCGAAUGUUAUACAUCCAAGAAAGGAAGGAGGGAACCGGCGGCCUCACUAAACAUAGGCCGGGCGAAAAUCUGCGAAUGUUAUACAUCCAAGGAGGGAGGACCGGCCGCCUCCUUAAACCACCGGCCGGGCGAAAAUCUGCGAAUGUUAUCCAUCCAAGGACGGAGGACCGGCCGCCUCCUUAAACACAGGCCGGUUGGAACGGUUGGCAGAAUCGCGUGACGGCCGCCUACUCCCGGCGUCCGCACGUGAAUGAACACCCCCUCCCAGGGACGGCCGUCUGCUCCCGGCCGCCGUCCUUCACCCCCCUCAGCUUCCGGACCCCCGUCUGCUCCCGGCGGGCCUCCGAGUACCCUCCCCUUCUCCCGAACUGACCGACUGGCACUCAUGACCCGCCUUGGUAGGGCCCCCACCGGCCCCGGCUCGCGCCGGCGUUGGGUGGACGGUUCCUCCCCACUUGCGGGUCGCACUUUAGCGCCUCGGCCGCCGCGAGAGCGUGCGCUACGCGCCGCCCCCGCAGGCCUUGGCGCGACCGUACGGCAGCGAGACCGAGACGCCCCGAAUCACCCACCUAGAGGAAAUCAACGGAGGCCGAGCGCGCGAUCCGAUUGCGGCACGCCGCGUGGGCGUCUGCCGGCCGCGCCGGUCUACCGCGAAUGCUGUUUCUCAAACCCAGACGGCACCGCGGGAUGUGUUGUCGCAACUCUGCUCGACUAUGCGAAUAGCCUUUCCCGACUACCGCGUUGCGGGAGGCGUCUUUCGUGCCGCCGGUGGCGUAUGACCUUCCGCGAGAGGCGUGCGGGCUUGGGGGGGCCGCAACGACCGAGUCUGACUCGGACGGGGCGCAGCUUCCCUCCCGGUCGCAGCAAUAAGCGCCGAACGCAGCGUUGGUCACAAGCCACCCCGGCGGGUUCGUCGGGAGCGCCGGUACCCUUCCGUAGCUAGUUGCCAGCUGGCCACAGCGGGCCGCACCGACCGAGUCUGACUCGGACGGGGCGCAGCUUCCCGUCUGGGUGACAGCGGCGCUGACAACGGCGGGGCGGCCGGAACCCCUUCGACCCCCCGGCUCCGACCAGUGUCGAUCCAACUCCGCAUCCUGGCGUAGCGCUUGGGCCCAGGCUGUUGACGAACAGGAAGCGGGAGCAGAAUCAGUAAAUAAGACAAAGCGGCCCAGUCAUUGUUGAACAAGUUAAUCAGAAGUAAUCUUGUCAACACCACAAAUCAAGUUGAAGUUCUUCAGAAGGAUCCCAACUCUCCACUGUACUCUGUAAAAUCCUUUAAGGAGUUGUGACUUAAACCACAGCUCCUUCAGGGUGUCUAUGGCAUGGGUUUUAACCGGCCCUCCAAAAUCCAGGAGACCGCCUUACCCAUGAUGCUCGCUGAACCUCCACAGAAUCUAAUCGCCCAGUCUCAGUCAGGAACAGGAAAAAACGCUGCCUUUGUGCUUGCCAUGCUCAGCCACGUCAAUCCAGACCACAAAUAUCCCCAG